UCUAACCAAAAUAUAUAUGUCAAUCAAUGUCAAUGACUCUAACAAAAACAAACUGAAAUUUGGUUUACAAGCUUUUAUUUAUAAAAAUUAUAAAAUUAAGAAUGAUCCUCACAAGUGCAUCGCAAUUCGAAGUACCUAAUUGUAGAUUUUAUGGAAAGGAAUGGGGACCUAAACAAGCCUGCCGAUGGACCCCACGGCAGGUUAACUGCCAUAAAUAAAUGUCCGUACAUGGUGUAGAAUCUCCUACGACCUAUUCUGCACAUGUGGGGAGCCCAAGACGCUCUGUCGUUGGACGAAGCCCAAGAUGCCCUGUCGUCGGAAGAAGCCCUAUACUUGUUGCCCCACUGAGACCAAGGCAGAGUCCUAGGACAACCCGUCGACGCGUGAUUCGUCCGAGGCAGUCAACGCCGCGACGCUAUCGUCCUCUCGUGGGGAUUUAGGCCAUUUAUGUAAUGGAUAACUAUAUAAGUAAUAAAUGAUUAUUUUUAAA